UGACCUCUGACCUCAAAUCAGGUAGGACUACCCGCUGAACUUAAGCAUAUCAAUAAGCGGAG
rnacentral:rRNA from 2 species